AUUUCAUUAUUUUUUUUUUCUUUCUAUCACAGUAUUCAGGUGAUGAAACAUAAAUGACAGGGAGAUAUUACACAUAUAUUGUAAUGAAACAACUUACUAAAAAUCUGUGCUUCUGAUGCACUGGUGUAUUUUUUAUUUUAUUAUAUAUUUUUUAAUGUUAAUCAAACACUUGUUCUUCCUCUUCCUGAAUUGCUAUGGAGACGCCUGAUAUUGGUCUACAAUUGUCAUAAUGCACAAAAUCAUGGGAGAAUUUUUUGAACAAGAGCUUAAGGUCACAAUUCUGCCUGGCCCUGAUCUAUAUGUAUAUUGGAGGUUGUGUGGCAUAACAUCACCAACUCUAUAUAUCGUUUAAAGUUUGGGGAAAUGCAGCGUAUCUUUUUACCAGAGCCAGUUCAAAAAUUAAGAGUACUUUGAUGUAUCAUGAUAUUUUAUAAAAUAGGAAAAACCAAAACACUAUUUGACAAUAGAAAAGGGCGGCCAUUUUGUACUGUGGCCUUCUUCUCUCUGAGCCAUCCUGCUUUUUCUAAAUGUUACUUGUCAAUAUUUACGGAGAGUUAAAAAUGUCUAACUUAUUUCGAGAGUGGUUUUUAAUGUAAGGGCUUUACCAUCCUUGAACCAAAAAAAUAAAAUAGAAAGCUACAGUUAAUUAUUAUUUUAUGGGCUUGCAAAAAUAAUUCAGAUGCACACAGAUGUACACUAAUGCAAACGUCUAGCGAAUAUGACAUAGUCAAAGUGCUGCAUGAAAUUUAAAUCUUUGGCACAGUUAUCAAUAUAAUCCUUCAUGUCAGUUCUGCCAGAGUUGGUGGUAUUGGGGGAGUGGUUCCAGUUUUACACACUACAUAUUAAUCUAUAGAAAUAUGAAUGACACUAUAAUGCAUAUAUUAGUACAAGACCCAGAACUGGGAUUUAAGCAUCUUACCCCAAUAUAAAACUGGUAAGCUGCCUUCCCCAACUGCCACACCGAUAUGGGAGUUGUAAUAUUGGUGAGGCAGAGUGUUUGGUGGACUCAGCACAAGACUCGUGAGCUUUCCAAACAAAAUAUUGGUGAUGUUCUGGGGGCACAGUUAUAAAAAUGACUCAAUCUAUGUUACUGAUAUUUCCACUGUUGGAAUGUUGCCCAAAAUUGUGCCUCAUAGAGAACCCCCAACAUAGAUACAUAGGAUAAUUACAUAGCUGUACAGAUUGUACUUUAUGAGAUAGGAUAUCAAAUGUAUAAAGCAUUUUCAUAAAAAUAGUGGGUUGAAGUGAUUAAGAAUGCCAUGGUAGUUUUCAGGUUGCAGACUCUCGAACACUAAUUCAGUCUUUUAGAGAUGGAGAGGCCGUGGUAAAGAUCAUUCGUAAAUAUUUAAAGGUGAAAACAGAAAGAGCUCUGCUAAGUCUGACCUGGCACCAAAUUUAUUGAGUAACUCAUAGAGGUCUACAUAUCUUUGCAACAAAGAGACCUACUUGAUAAUAACUGAAUUGUUGUUAACUUUUGUAUAUCACAAACUAAGAAAGCUAGCUUGAACUUCAGAGGAGGCAUUACAAGAAGCUUGAUGUGCUAAUUAGGAAUGAAAGUAUAUAUUUUCAUCAUAAUUGCCCAUGUUUAAAGGAAAUUAACUGGCUUUCAUGUUUAGUAAAAUGUAUUGGAAAGACUAACAACACACAUUUUUCAACGUAAUCAACACAAUGACUAACUAUUGCAUAGGGUAAUAUUAAUGUUACCUUGUCCAGUCCCCGUAACUUUUUUUUUAAAGCAUUUUGAGCCAGAGACCACUGUGACUUGUCAUCAAGGGAUGUUUUAUAUGGUCCUUCUGCACAUUCUCUCUUAAAAUCCAUGGUUGGACCAGCUCCAUUGCAGACUUUAAACCAUUCUUGUCUACAAGUAAUAAGCACUAUAAUUACAAGAGAAAUAUAGAACAAAAUACAUAAGACGCAUUUAAUAUACUGUGAUAUGAUCAUAAAUUAUAUAGAUAAUAGUAUGUAUUAUUCUACACAAAAACCAAAUUUGAUUUAUAUUUAAGGAGCAGUAUAAAAAUAGUUUAAUUCGCCCCAAUAUGAAAAAAAAUAAAAUAAAAAUAGGUAUUAAAAAUGUUUUGGAGGGGGUGGGGAGAGAGUUUUUUUAAUUAUUUAAAUUUCUAUUUCUGACUUGCAGGGACGCCAAGACUGUUAAAAGAUCUGUAGUUAUUUCAUUUGCAAAAAUGUAAAAAAAUAAAAAAUAAAUAAAAAAAAAUACAAAAAUA
rnacentral:lncRNA from 1 species